UGCAGGUCCGUCACCAAGCUUCUCCGAGAGAAGUCAAACUUCCGAGAGAUCAAUAAGAUUCACUUCUCAGCAGCAGGAGGGCGCGCGCAGUCUCCAGCGCGGGACUCGAACCCACGGCAGCAGAGGAGCUGAAUGCGGAUGUCCUCCACGGCGCAGCGACACUGAUAAGGAACCGGAGUCUCGGGAUGUGCUCGUUUUAAGUCGGCUCUGCAAGAAUUCAGGCUGCGGACGACGACUUCGUCGCUAAACGAGCGGAGAACGCCUUCCUCCCGCAAAAACAUUAAAGAGGAGAAUUCUGACUGCGGGAAAAUGGGAAGUACGGUGAUGGACUCCAAGAAGAAGGACUGUGCAAAAAAAUCCUCAAAGAAAAAGCGAUCUCUGCGCCUGAACAUGCCCGAUUUGAGCACAUUCACAUCUUCUCUUAUGGAUGGAGAGACUGACAGAGCAGAUAAAGAUGAAAUGCGCAAGGGUGACGGAAGUGAGUCAGCGAGCCCAUGUUUGAAGCCUCCUGCCAGUCAACCCUGUACCCCAUCUUCAGCCCCCGUAUGUCCCCGGACCAGUCCAGGCACUCCUAAAACCCUCUUCCCACGUCCGCUGUCAUCCCACCAGGACUCACCUCCCAAAUCUCCCCGCCGUCUCAGUUUCAGUGGUAUCUUCCGCUCCUCGUCCAGCUCAGCCCCUGCCAGCAUCAAGCUCUUCUCCAAAUCCAAAAAAGGGCUUUCCACGCCCCCCACCACCCCGACACAGAGUCCCGUUCCCCCGGUCUUCUCUAGGGAGAGCUCCAGUCCUGUGGAGCGGGUGGAGGAACGACGCUCCCGCUCUCUCUCGUCUCCCCCUGACACGGGCCAGCGCUUCACCCUGAACACCUCCACCACCAAACCCCCCCUCGCCUCGUACACUUUUAACUCUACCUCACGCCAGAGCUUCGUACUUGCUGAAGGCAUGCUGGAAAAACUUGAACUUGAUAAUGAAGCUGCUGAAGAGCCAGACAGUGACAUUUACAUGCGCUUUAUGAAAUCCCACAAGUGCUAUGACCUCAUCCCCACCAGCUCCAAACUAGUUGUCUUUGACACUACAUUGCAGGUUAAGAAAGCUUUCUUUGCCUUGGUUGCUAAUGGAGUUCGAGCUGCGCCAUUGUGGGAAACCAAAAAGCAAAGCUUUGUGGGAAUGUUAACCAUCACUGACUUCAUCAUUAUACUGCACAGAUACUACAAAUCACCACUGGUACAAAUAUAUGAGCUGGAGGAGCAUAAAAUCGAGACUUGGAGAGAACUGUACCUGCAAGAAACUUUUAAACCAUUAGUCAACAUAUCUCCAGAUGCAAGUAUAUUUGAUGCUGUUUACUCACUCAUCAAAAAUAAGAUCCAUCGUUUGCCAGUGAUCGAUCCAGUCACUGGAAACGCUCUGUAUAUCCUCACACACAAGAGGAUCCUCAAGUUUCUGCAGCUCUUCGUGUGUGAGAUGCCUAAACCAGCCUUCAUGAGGCAGACUCUGGAGGAGCUGGGCAUCGGCACGUACAGCAACAUCGCCUUCAUUCACCCAGAUACACCCAUUAUUAAAGCACUGGGCAUGUUUGUGGAGAGGAGAGUGUCUGCCCUGCCGGUGGUGGAUGUUACAGGAAAGGUUGUGGACAUUUACUCCAAAUUCGAUGUGAUUAACCUGGCUGCUGAGAAGACCUACAAUAAUCUGGACAUCACCGUGACUCAGGCGCUGCUGCACCGCUCGCAGUACUUCGAGGGCGUCAUGAAGUGUUAUCGACACGAGACUGUGGAGACCAUAGUGGACAGAAUCGUCAAAGCCGAGGUGCACAGGCUGGUAGUGGUGGAUGAUAACUCCAGCAUCGAGGGCAUCAUCUCUCUCUCGGACAUCCUGCAGGCUCUGGUUCUCACCCCCGCAGGUAUAGAUGCACAGAAUUCCUAAAUCGACCCUCCAUUUCACUUUCCUUCUCUCCUCUCCACUCUUCCCCGGACCCAAUCUCCUCUCCCUGGGCAUCUAUGACUCGAGUGUCCCUCUCUGACCCCUGAGCACAGGAGGAUGCAGAAGGGACGGCGUGACCGAAUGACAAGACAGCGUUUUGGAGGUGAACGAGACGUACAAAAAUACAGAAUUCAAACCGGCAUUCCCGACGAGAUACAGAGAAGAGGACGGCUGGAAACUUCUUAGAGCCUCGUUUUGAGGGCAGGAAAUUGUGCCGGGCCGAAAGAAACCGAGAAUCUGCAGCCGAAGGAACAGUCAUGCGAUCGUAACGCACAUUGUUGGACUUGUUUAUGGUGGGCCGCUAUACCGUACACUGCUUUAGAGGCCUGCUCAGACACUGCUGUCUUCUGCCUGGGUCUGCGUUAUAUCAGCAGGCACUGCGGUCCGCUCUUGGUUGAGUGUCUGAAGUGGAAAUUUUGCCUUAAAUGAAGACCUCGGUGAGAGUUGAUCGUAAAGGUUAGCAGAGACCCGUAGAUGUGCAUGUAGUGCAAAAGCUCGUUGUUUGAUUCAGUAAGUUGCUGUUGGGUCAACCACAUUUUUUUCCCUCCCACUGUCUUUGAAAUACUUUCAGGCUGCAUUUCAUCCAAAAAUGAAAAGUAAUAAUUAUAAAUAGAAAAUGAAGCAUUAAGUAAAUGUGACAUUAUUUUCUUGACAGAUAAUCAUACGUCCCCUGCAGGUUUUAUUAUUGUGUUGCUAAGGUAUUUAUAUAUAUAUAUCACGUAAAUAAUAUAAUGUGUACAUGUUGUUAUAGUAUUUAUUCUAUCACCUGUAAUUUAUGCAUAAAAAGAACGGUUACUUUUUUUUAAAAUAAUGAGUCGCUAAUAAGAAUCGCUUCUGGAAAUAUUUGUUACAUUACUAUUUUAAUAUUACAUAGUCGGCAUGGAAAUUAGAUUAUUUUCAGAAGGGGUUCUAAUUAGUAGGUCAUUAUAAAAAAAAAUUAAUAUAUACUAUAACAUAUACACGUUAAAGAAAAUUAGAUGUUUUGUAUUACAAUAAUUAAAACUGCCGGGAAAUGUGCUUGUUUAUCAUGAAAGCAGCGUAACAAUCCAAAAAAUGUGCAAAAAAUUCUGUCUUUUGUUUCUUUCAGGUUUGAUGUGAUGUAUAUGAUAUGACCCAGACAUAUUCUUGACGAGUUUAAUGAGAUUUAUCAGAAUAUUAUUGAUUUUGCCUGUCGACACUGGCCUGUUAGUCCCAAAACACCUACUGAAUAUACAUUUUGUUCUCAUCCUAUUAGUUUUCAGUGGAAAAAAAAAGAAAAAAGAAUGUACUCCCACGCUGCACACGCACUGGCUGUCAUGGACUGUAUUUUUACUGGAACAAAGACUGUGUUAUGAACAGAGACUAUAUACAGAGCCUUAUUUUUUUAUCAUGACUGUCUGUUGUGUUUGGCUGGUGUGGGAAACCGUGUGCACUACCUGUCUUAUGCACUAAAAAGAGCAUGAAUGUCAAAGCUCGCUUGCAGUUGCAAAAGUGGCCACGCGUCUUUGCACCCCAGUGAUACGAUGAACUACUAUAAAUACAACAAGGCGCCGUGUAAUGGGCUCAGAAUUGAUCAAUCGUGUAUUGUUUGAUUGCAUUUUUUCAUUAUUGUAACUGCUGUCAGUGAAAGUUAAGACUGUUAAGUCCAGAGAGAAAGAAAUGUACUUUUUUGUACCCAGAAAUGACACUAUUUUUUAUGUGGUUGAGCUAAAAUAUAUUGAUAAUGCAUUAA